GCUUGUAUUGUACGUUCACAUCAUUGCAAAAAAUGAUGUUGGCGUAUGCUCCAUAUUCGCGGUAUAACAACCCCUUUGUAGUGAAUAUUCUCAGAUGGCUACAAACCAAGCAAGCCAAGCUUCGACAUGAAGAUCGAACCAUUCUUCGUCUUUUUUACUCAAUCAAACUCCUUGGUCUUUUGUUCUCUAGUGGCGUCCAUACCCAUAAAUAUCUCUGGAGAUAAGAAGUGAAUAACUCUGGUGACAGUUGAAGCAAGUCAACAACUCAACAGUAGAAGAACAGCAGGGUCAGAGCCCCGUGAUAGAGGUAGGGUGACUCGUGGUCGGCGGCUCGGCCGUGGCGAGCCACGGCGAGUCAACGGAGCAGGGGGCGGCUGAUCCGCAAUGGAGGUAGAAAGGCGGCUCAAGGGAGCAGCGCGGCGGUUUAGCGAAGAUGGCCACGGGGCGGCGGCUCUAAAGGCCGCGCGUGUAGCAGAAAACAGUGUAGAGGCGGCUCAAGGCCGCAGUGGCACGGCGGCUCUCCGCAAGGAUGAGACGGUAGCAUAGGCGCGAGGCACCGAGCGACUCAGGAACAAGUAUGGACCGGCGAAAGUGGAUCCAGCGGGUUAGCUCACGGAGGCGUGGGUGGAGCCGUAACCGGUCCGGAGCAGAUGGAGGUGACUUAAUAGGGCCCAGCAGAGGAGAGCACGGCGGCGACUUUGUAGUGAUGGCGAUUUGAUGCAGCAGACGGAUUUUAACAGUGGUGUCUCUCUAAGCAGUAGUGGUGGAUAUGCGAGAACGGCGAUAGAGAGGACGAGCUCGUUUGCUCUCUCUACAUGGACCAAUGGAGCAGUUCGGCUGUGGUGGGCCUGUUCGGGCAUUAAUACACAUCUACGGAAAUAUACGUAUGGCCUGAGGCAAGUGUACGCGGGGUAACGGCGGGGCAACGAAGUGUGCUGUUAGUACAUAACAUAAGCGCGCAGUACAGGAUGGGCAUAAACGAAAAAAGAAAAUAUGACAACGCGCAUCCACCACAUGUUUCCCCGAGAAGAGUAAAAAAAACUAUCAAUUGAGUGAUUUGUGGCGCGCUCCAGAAAGCCGAGAGGUUAUGGCGACCGCGGAGGAGGGCGGCGAUGGAUUCGAGUUCCUAGCAGAUCCGGUGGACAGGUAUGAUCCCUAGUGCAGAAGACGAACUAGUGAUUCUGACUCUUUUGCGGCAGCCAACUUAGGUGUGUCCGAGUGUUCUUGCACGUUCCCCUUGGCGGAUCUUGGACGCGGCGUCUUCGCUCCCGAUGGUGAGCCAGAGGCUAAUCUCACACAGUCAGCGGCUGAAUCCAGCAUGGGAGAUGUGGGCGAUGUGCCGCUAAUCCUGCAAUUGGCCAUCAACAACGGCUGUGAAGCAUUAAGCUUCUCUGCGACGGAUUCGCAACAGUCAGCUGGAAAGGAUGACCCUCAAGCCCCCGGUUGGACUAAAAGGUUCUUGAUUUCUUGGGUAUAGAGAAAAUACCAUCAAAGCACAUCCUCUAGAGGUGGACGAAAGAUGCAAUAGAUAUACUUCCAUGCAGUUGGCACACGCACAGAAGACCAUAUAUCGGUUAACUCCAUUACAUUCGGACAUUCAAAUCUGUAUACUCAUGCUUUGGAGGUUGUAAAACUUGGUGAUGCAAACCAAAUUGCAUAUGAUUAUGCAAUGGAGCUUCUUAGAUCAGCAAUGUAUAAACUGAUCCCUUUAGCUUCUGAGCAUGACGGUCUGGGUUUAGAACACAAAAUUGAGUUCAACAAGCCAAAAGGUACAGAAUUGAGUGUGUUCGUGAACCACAAAAAGUAUGCGGGAGUGACGCUGGAGGUAGCGCAGUUGGAAAUUUCAUUGGUUUAGCAGCUCCAGAACGCAAACGGAAGGCCGGUCGACCAACCAGCAGCAGAGACAAGCCUCCAUAUGAUGAUCUCGGUGCAAAGAGCAAAAAAAGUAAGUUUCUGGCACAUCUAGAUGCUGCAGUAUAUAUGUCGCGAACCAGGGCACAAGAGCACAACAUGUCCACAGCGGGGUGAGCUCCCUCAAAAGAAAAGGAAAAAAAGCCAAAUGCUCAAUAUGCGGAGUGGGAGGGCAUCGCAAGAACACCUGCAAGUCUGCAACAAUCCAAAGAUUGUUUACAUGUUCCUCAGAAAGCUACACAUGAACGACCUGUGGAAAUGUGAUUAAUCCGGUGUAUCACUGAACUUCCACCGUUUUUCCCUUGUAUGAUGAUUGCUCACAACCUAGUGGUGUGAAAUAAAUUAUGUAUUGUCAGCUUAGGAAUUGUGACAAUGUUUCCUCUUGUAUAUGUCUAAAACCUUUGACUUAGAUUAAUCUGGUUUAUCACUGAA